rnacentral:rRNA from 1 species
UAGUAUUUAUUAGAAAGAAACCAACCCCUUCGGGGUGAUGUGGUGAAUCAUAAUAAGCUUACGGAUCGCACGGCUUUUGCUGGCGAUGGAUCAUUCAAGUUUCUGCCCUAUCAGCUUUGGAUGGUAGGGUAUUGGCCUACCAUGGCUUUAACGGGUAACGGGAAAUUAGGGUUUGAUUCCGGAGAGGGGGCCUGAGAGAUGGCCACCACAUCCAAGGAAGGCAGCAGGCGCGUAAAUUACCCAAUCUUGACACAAGGAGGUAGUGACAAUGUAAGUAACUGAGUGAUCAGUUAUAAUAAAACAAGCGACGAUGGCAAAAUAGUCUAACUCUUGCAUUUUGGCCGGUAUCAACAGAAAUAACAAUGCCGGGCCUCUGUAGGUCUGGCAAUUGGAAUGAGAACAAUUUAAAACUCUUAUCGAGGAUCAAUUGGAGGGCAAGUCUGGUGCCAGCAGCCGCGGUAAUGUAAGUUGAUUGGAAUAGUCUCGUUGAGGACUGAUGGGAAAGAGGUGAAUAUGACUUUCAGAACAAUCAUGGUCUCACAACACAUGUGCUUCUCAAUUUUGUGUAUUACASUC